ACUCCUACGGGAGGCAGCAGUAGGGAAUCUUCCGCAAUGGAGGAAAGUCUGACGGAGCCACGCCGCGUGAGCGAAGAAGGCCUUCGGGUCGUAAAGUUCUGUUGUUAGGGAAGAACAAGUAACGCUGUAACGCGCGUCACAGUGACGGUACAUACCGAGAAAGCCCCGGCUAACUACGUGCCAGCAGCCGCGGUAAUACGUAGGUGGCGAGCGUUGUCCGGAAUUAUUGGGCGUAAAGCGCGCGCAGGCGGUUCCUUAAGUCUGAUGUGAAAUCCCCCGGCUCAACCGUGGAGGGUCAUUGGAAACUGGGGGACUUGAGUGCAGAAGAGGAGAGCGGAAUUCCAGGUGUAGCGGUGAAAUGCGUAGAGAUGUGGAGGAACACCAGUGGCGAAGGCGGCUCUCUGGUCAAAAACUGACGCUCAGGUGCGAAAGCGUGGGGAGCAAACAGG
rnacentral:rRNA from 1 species